UCACACCGAAGAUGAAGCAACAUGGGAGACGGAAGAAUAUCUGAACAAGCGUUUUCCAGGUUUUCUACCCCAUCAAGGAGGUAAGAACAGCACACCCUUGAUCUUGAAUCUCGGGACGAGAUUCUUUUUAAGAGGGGUAGGCUGUAACGACCGACCCCUAAUCUCUCCCAGUUAGGUUUGAGCUCAGCCCUUAAACCUCCGUCAGUUGCUCUGUUGAUCGCACUUAAGUGCUCAGUUUUCCGCCAGUUCCGACCCCUGAGAUCCGACCCCUACUGCUUCGUUCCUUUUUCCCGACCCUGGCGAGUUCAGCCAUCCGUCGGAUCCUGU
rnacentral:lncRNA from 1 species